rnacentral:rRNA from 1 species
UACGUAGGGGGCGAGCGUUGUCCGGAAUGAUUGGGCGUAAAGGGUGCGUAGGCGGCGAUACAAGUCAGAAGUGGAAGUCCUGUUUUCAAGGCAGGAAUUGCUUUUGAAACUGUAUGGCUUGAGUGCAGGAGAGGUUAUCGGAAUUCCCGGUGUAGCGGUGAAAUGCGUAGAGAUCGGGAGGAACACCAGUGGCGAAGGCGGGUAACUGGACUGCAACUGACGCUGAGGCACGAAAGUGUGGGGAGCAAACAGGAUUAGAUACCCUGGUAGUCCACACCAUAAACGAUGAAUGCUAGGUGCAGGGGGUAUCGACCCCUUCUGUGCCGGAGUAAACACAAUAAGCAUUCCGCCUGGGGAGUACGGUCGCAAGAUUAAA